rnacentral:rRNA from 1 species
UACGGGGGGGGCAAGCGUUGUUCGGAAUUACUGGGCGUAAAGGGCGCGUAGGCGGUUGGAUAAGUCAGCUGUGAAAACCACGGGCUUAACUCGUGGCCUGCAGUUGAGACUGUCUGGCUUGAGUGUGGGAGAGGGGUGCGGAAUUCCAGGUGUAGCGGUGAAAUGCGUAGAUAUCUGGAGGAACACCGGUGGCGAAGGCGGCAUCCUGGACCAACAUUGACGCUGAGGAGCGAAAGCCAGGGGAGCAAACGGG